UGUGGAGAGACGCUGAAGGUGGGGCUGAUGACUGGGGUGAAGUCGUAACAAGGUAGCCGUACCGGAAGGUGCGGCUGGAUCACCUCCUAACAGGGAGACAAAACUGAUUAUGAUGUCUGAUGAAAAAAUUUAGGCCUUAAUCCUGUCACCUUAGGUCGAUCGGUACCUCUGAUUAAAACUUUAAAAUUGAGAAAUCACUUUUAACUUAGUUCUUUAAUUUCAGUUCCUAAACUUGUCUAGGUCACACCCAACAAACUUUCUCCUGGGCUAUUAGCUCAGGCGGUUAGAGCGCACCCCUGAUAAGGGUGAGGUCCCUGGUUCAAGUCCAGGAUGGCCCAUUCGUUGUUGGGGGUAUAGCUCAGUUGGUAGAGCGCCUGCUUUGCAAGCAGGAUGUCAGCGGUUCGAGUCCGCUUACCUCCACUGAACAACUAUCUGAUAACUCCAAUUGGAGAUUGUUAUUUGUUUAAUGUGAUUUAGAUAUUUUGUUCAUCUGAAUGAACCUAGCUUCCUGUCAUACCUUAACUAUUUGAGGCCGAUAAGACGCUGGGCUCACUGAUAUUUUAAAAAAUAUCAGUUGAUUCAGCAGAACCUUGACAACUGCAUAGGAAAAGUCUGGAAAGAAUAAAGCAUCUCAUAGAUGCAUGGAAAACUAUGUUAUUAGCAUUGCUAAAAAAUAUAGUUUUUUGUGUUUGAUUCUUGAGUUAGAGCUUAAUAUCUAUAACUUUUUACUUUUUAAAAAAGUGAUUUGCUAAUUAAUUUUAGUAAGUUUAUAGAUUUAUAAAUGGUCAAGCUACAA
rnacentral:misc_RNA from 1 species